UAUUUGCCGGCGUCAAAUGGUGCCCCUUUGUGAGGAGGACUUUAGACUAGAAUAAAAAAGAAAAUCUUGGAUAAACUCGGGCGCCGGAGACCCAGGAGGAAUACUUCAUCCCUUCGCCUUCUACAUCUGAUGUCUUUGUGCUGGAAUUAGGUGGGUCCCCGCCAAGAACGUCAAACCAUAUUGCACCCCAGAACGUGUUGACGAGCCCAGAACCGAGGAAGCAAGUACGCAGAUGUGAGCCAAGCAGAGGGAUCCCGGGUCACGCCUGACGUUCCUUGUGCAUCGGUGGAACCUGCAAAUUCUGACUUUGUGUUAAUGUUAUUUAUAAGUGUGUCAAUUGUAUGUCAAAUGUUUGUUUUGUAGAGCUGAUUUUUGGCAAAAGUUUAGGUUUUUGUUUUUGUUGAAAGCAAAAUUUUAAAAAUUGAUAUAUAUGUAAGGAUUCUGCCAAAACUUAGCUCAUGGAUAAGAUGAAGCAAAUGCAAGUUGUAUGUUGGUAUUGGUGGGUUAUAAUUUCCUUUUGUCGUGCAGAUUUGCCUGUGGAACAACCGAAAACUAAUGUUUGGGUGACCUUAGCCAAGGCAGCCGGCUCAGAUACCAUAUGUUUGUCUAAUUCGGAACCAGAAAAACCUUUCUCAACCUGUCUAGUUGGUGUGUCAGUAAAAGAGUUG